AUUGAACGCUGGCGGUAGGCCUAACACAUGCAAGUCGAACGAGUGGCGGACGGGUGAGUAAUGUCUGGGAAACUGCCCGGUGGCGGGGGAUAACUACUGGAAACGGUGGCUAAUACCGCAUACCAUCGGAUGUGCCGAGAUGGGAUUAGCUAGUAGGUGGGGUAAAGGCUAACCAAGGCGACGAUCCGUAGCUGGUUUGAGAGGAUGACCAGCCACACUGUAACGGAGACACGGUCCAGACUCCUACGAGAGGCAGCAGUGGGGAAUAUUGCACAAUGGGGGCAAGCCGGAUGCAGCCAUCCCGCGUGUAUGAAGAAGGCCUUCGGGUUGUAAAGUACUUUCAGCGAGGAGGCGUUACUCGCAGAAGAAGCACCGGCUAACUCCGUGCCAGCAGCCGCGGUAAUAC
rnacentral:rRNA from 1 species